AGAGGGGGCCAGCGUUAUUCGGAAUUAUUGGGCGUAAAGGGCACGUAGGCGGCCAUGCGUGUCUUCCGUGAAAUCCCUCGGCUUAACUGAGGACGUGCGGAAGAAACUGCAAGGCUAGAGUCUUGUAGAGGGGGGUAGAAUUCCAGGUGUAGCGGUGAAAUGCGUAGAGAUCUGGAGGAAUACCGGUGGCGAAGGCGGCCCCCUGGACAAAGACUGACGCUCAGGUGCGAAAGCGUGGGGAGCAAACAGGAUUAGAUACCCUGGUAGUCCACGCCGUAAACGAUGUCGAUUUGGAGGCUGUGUCCUUGAGACGUGGCUUCCGGAGCUAACGCGUUAAAUCGACCGCCUGGGGAGUACGGCCGCAUGGUUA
rnacentral:rRNA from 1 species